rnacentral:lncRNA from 1 species
AAGUGACAUGUCAGAGCUGCGAUUGCCUUCAGUAGUCCAGUUUUAAGUCCAAAGCCUUAAUCGUUCUUUCUGGAUACCCAGUACCUUAUAAUGCAGGUCUAUGGAAUUGGACUUCAGACCAAAGUCGACAGGUCUUUAAAAAGACCUGCACGUACCAGCUAACACCUAUGAUCGGUGUACGUCCCACAUUCCAGCCUUUUUGAGAUGAUCAGAUUACACUGGAGAGAAUUGCUGAGUGUAAAUAGUGGUGAAUUAUUCAAUUACCCAUCAUUAAUCUAUUGAACGAUAACCUCAAGAUAGAAAAUUCAAGGAAUUCUUCUAUGUAUUAAGAGCAUUAAAAUCCUCCUUUUCAACAACUCUUUCAGGUA